rnacentral:RNase_P_RNA from 1 species
UGAGUGAACCAGAUGAUCGCGAAGUAAUACUUUGAGGAAAGUCCGAGCUCCAAAGGGCAGGGUGCUGGGUAACGCCCAGUGGAGGCAACUCUAAGGCUAGUGCCACAGAAACAAACCGCUCUUUAAUGACAAAGUCAUUAUGAGUAAGGCUGAAAAGGUGAGGUAAGAGCUCACCAGCGAUUAGGUGACUAAUCGGCUAGGUAAACCCCAUCCGGAGCAAGGUUAAAUAGGGAAGAAGAGGCUGCCCGUCUCGUAUCACUUCCGGGUUGACCGCAUGAGAUCUUAGGUAACUGAGGUCCUAGAUAGAUGAUCAUCCACGACAGAACUCGGCUUAUCGGUUCACUCAGUUU